rnacentral:rRNA from 1 species
AUUGAACGCUGGCGGCAGGCCUAACACAUGCAAGUCGAACGAGUGGCGGACGGGUGAGUAAUGUCUGGGAAACUGCCUGAUAGAGGGGGAUAACUACUGGAAACGGUAGCUAAUACCGCAUACCAUCGGAUGUGCCCAGAUGGGAUUAGCUAGUAGGUGGGGUAAAGGCUCACCUAGGCGACGAUCCCUAGCUGGUCUGAGAGGAUGACGAGCCACACUGGAACGGAGACACGGGCCAGACUCCUACGGGAGGCAGCAGUGGGGAAUAGUGCACAAUGGGCGCAAGCCUGAUGCAGCCAUGCCGCGUGUAUGAAGAAGGCCUUCGGGUUGUAAAGUACGUUCAGCGGGGAGGCGUUACUCGCAGAAGAAGCACCGGCUAACUCCGUGCCAGCAGCCGCGGUAAUUC